rnacentral:lncRNA from 1 species
AAAGAAGAAAAGGUGCAUAACGUAUGGUUGUAAGGUGUCCAUGAAGGUCAACUCAAAGAUGCGAAUUGUAAGUAAGAAAAGAGGAGGGUCCGGUUAUAGAUUGAGUUGGAUUACAAACUUUUUCCAAAGCAAAAUUAGUGAUGAUUCGAAAGAAAGUUUCCAAUGUAUUUGGUUUUGUCACCUUACUUUAUGUUGUGUCCCUUAUUGAGAAUCCUUAUUGUGGGUUACCAACUAGAAGGAUAUGUGACAUUCAAC